UACGUAGGGGCCUAGCGUUGUUCGGAUUCACUGGGCGUAAAGGGUGCGUAGGCGGUCGGGUAAGUCUGACGUGAAAUCUUCAAGCUCAACUUGGAAACUGCGUCCGAUACUAUUCGGCUAGAGGAAUGGAGGGGAGACUGGAAUACUUGGUGUAGCAGUGAAAUGCGUAGAUAUCAAGUGGAACACCAGUGGCGAAGGCGAGUCUCUGGACAUUUCCUGACGCUGAGGCACGAAAGCCAGGGGAGCAAACGGG
rnacentral:rRNA from 1 species